GUAACAAGGGUCUCCGUUGGUGAACCAGCGGAGGGAUCAUUACCGAAGUUACCCUCAGAAACCCUUUGUGAACGUUACCUCUUGCCGCGUUGCCUCGGCGGGAGGCGUCGGGGGGGGACCGUCGCCGCUCACGCGGAGGCGCCCCCCCUCGCCGUCCCCGCCGGCAGCGCCAAAACUCUAUUUGCACAGCGGACUGUAUGUUCUGAUUUACAAAAAAAAACAAGUUAAAACUUUCAACAACGGAUCUCUUGGUUCUGGCAUCGAUGAAGAACGCAGCGAAAUGCGAUAAGUAAUGUGAAUUGCAGAAUUCAGUGAACCAUCAAAUCUUUGAACGCACAUUGCGCCCGGUAGUAAUCUGCCGGGCAUGCCUGUCCGAGCGUCAUUUCUCCCCUCGAGCGCGGAUUCACGGCCUGUCCCCCGGUGUUGGGGCGCUACGAAGGAACCCCGCGCUCCCCCCGUAGGAACGAAAAUGUAUUGGCGGUCCGGCCGCGCCCUCCCCUCAGGUGUUGGUUUACAACGCUUACCGGGACCCGGUUGAGGCGAUUAUUAAAACCCCCUUCUAAAAUAGUUUGACCUCUGAUCCAGUAGGCUUACCCGCUAAAGUUAACCGGUCCAUAUAGCGGAUGAAAAAAAACUUACCGGGAUUGCCUCAGCAACGGGCGAGGGAAACGGCAACUUCUCGAAUGUUGAUAUUCUGGUGACCUUUACGGAGGCCCUAAUUGGUAAUUUGAACACGAUGCUUUUGGCGCUAGGUGCCCUUCUCAGUGCCCUGGUACGCGACGCCACCUGCGUGUGUAAAUACCUCGUCAUGGUCUGGGCGUCCCGGUGCACUAUGUAUAGCCUACUUUCGAGCAGGUGCACGGAUUUUUGUGGGCCCGUUUAGCUGUAAAGAGAAGAGAACG
rnacentral:misc_RNA from 1 species